rnacentral:lncRNA from 1 species
CGAAGGUCAAGUUCAAUAAUGGCGAUUUUGACUUUUACCGUUCAGGAGUUAUGGUUCUUGAAAGAUUGAAAAAUGGAGUUUCCAGUCGUGUUUGUGCAUUUACGCAUGAACUGUUCUACCAAAGCUUCCCAAAUUUUAAUAUGUUGUUACUAAUGACAGAAUGGAGGUCAAGUUCAAUAAUGACGAUUUUGACUUUUACCGUUCAGGACUUAUGGUUCUUGAAAGAUUGAAAAAUGGAGUUUCCAGUCGUGUCCGUGCAUUUAUGCAUGAACUGUUCUACCAAAGCUUCCGAAAUUUUAAUAUGCUGUUACUGAUGACAAAAUGGAAGUCAAGUUCAAUAAUGACGAUUUUGACUUUUACCGUUCAGGAGUUAUGGUUCUUGAAAGAUUGAAAAAUGGUGUUUCCCGUCGUGUCCGUGCAUUUUCUCAUGAACCAUUCAACCAAAGCUUUUGAAAUUUUAAUAUGUUGUUACUGAUGACAAAAUAGAGGUCAAGUUCAAUAAUGACGAUUUUGACUAUUACCGUUCAGGAGUUAUGGUUCUUGAAAGAUCGUAAAAUGGCGUUUUCAUUCACG